GGGCACUGUAGUCAGCGUAUGUAUGACAGCCCCUAAGAAAUAUGGCGGCCGCUCCGGGAGGACGGCUGCUGCGCAUGCCCGGCUGCAGCAGCUCCUCCUCCCAUGGUCCUUUGCGGAGUCAGUGAGACUCCGGGCACUGCGCCACCACUGAGCCUGGACCCUGCUAGUAUUCUGUCAGAAGAGGAGGACGUACCAUACCACCGAUCCCCACAUAUAAGUGAUCACCAGCAAUACAUGUGGGCCCGGGGGCGGGGCGGAACGGAGAGCCGCGAGUGCUGUCAGAGCAGUGUACACUGCUUCCUCUCCCCUCUCUUUCUCCUCAACGCUGCAGGUCAUCAGAAAUUAUGGUGGAGCCGAUGGAAGCACCUUUAUUCAGGAUCUGCAGCUCUGAUCUGCUGCGUCCUGUGUGCUGCCUGAGCUCCUCCUCCGCUGGGUGCAGCUCAUUCACAAUCUGAGGUAUUUAUAGCAAUAUUUUUUUUUUUCAUUGAACCGAAAGACCUAGUCUGUGCACUCUGUUCAUGAAGCUGCCACCUGGGUACAUACAUGGGCAUCCAUCCGAGACUGGCAUGACGAAGCAGACUACCGAACUCCGAACGAACACAUCAUUAAGGGCUUUGGAAGAAACGAAAAAAACAAGCGGUGGUAAAUAUAGGUUCAGCAAGUUAUUAGAAGAGGCCACAGUCCAGCAUCCCUAAGGAGACGUACUGAAGCUCCAGUUUGGAGUGAGCAACAAGGGUGGAGCAUUUCAAGACAGCUGCCAGUUUCCACAGUGUUAUAUUCUUCUGAAUUCCAGUGUUAUUAUUUCUAGAGAUAGACCACUAUUGUCUUUCACACCGCUGUUACUGUUUAUCUUUUUCAAUAUGACUGUUGUGUCAUUAAGUAUCUUUAUAUGUAGUAUUAAACAUCCAGAAGUAA